CAAUUGCGCUCCACGUGUCUUUGGAAAGGCCUUCGCGCCGGUACCCGUUCCGCGCCCGUCGUCUGAAUGUCGCCCCGUUUUUCUGACGGGGACGCCUCGGAGCUCUCUUCCCCCUUUUCCAGGGGCUUUUGGCUCCUAAGCGCAAAUCAGGUAGAGAUGUCACCAGGGAUGGGAUUCAGCUGAUUCGGAUUGGUUCUAUGCCCCAGCGCUAUGCUGUCCUAUUUAGCUGCAUUUAAGCCACGCACAUAUGUGCAAGCACGCAAACAAAGCGCAUGCACAAAAGGUUGCACGCAUGCAUGGAAGGCGCACACGCUCACAUUUUCGGUGCUGGGGCGAAACUGGUUGUUAAUCCAGGUGCCUCCCAUUUCUGGAUGUGACUACAAUUGUGGGUUGAGCUCAUGAUGCUUUUUUUGGUGUCGUAUCUCCCUCUGCUGGACAUUCGUUAAUACUUAUCUUGACUAAAAUUACAGUCUUCUCACACAGGCAAGCCAGAUGUUCAGAUUGGAUUUGGCAUUUUUUAUCCACCUAUCAAGUCCUUCCGAAGGACUGGGAUAAGCAGAUGUUGAUAUUUAAUGGUGUUAAGAGGCAUCGUCGCAGGAUGUAAGCUGUUCCAAGUAAAGCUUACUAUUAUCAUGGUCUGUAAACCCAGGAUUUCUAAUCCGGAAAAUCAAUAUUGCAGCGUCGUACAGUGUUACUAUAUUCAAAUCAAAGCAACUGAAUUGAAUUGAACUCACAGGGUUAGAAUUUUGGGGCAAAAUAGGAUCCCAACACCAGGAGGGAUUUCCAAAACUUUGUAGUAAGAGAAUAAAAGGGUUAGUGACAUAAUGAAAGAAAAUAUCACAGAUCAAGAAUAUUUUUAAGAAGAUCUGCCCCUCCUCAACUCUUUGUGAAUCUUGUAAUUCUGUUCGCAAGUAGUGUGCUGUUUAAAUCAAUCAUCUUGUUGGACCAAGCCAAUAAAAAAAAUUCAGAACCACAAAAUCCAGCAUCCCAAACAUGAAAUGUUCAGGGCCUGAAUAAUUUUGUCACACAGAAUAAGUAACAAGCCACAGCACAUGAAGCAAAACAGGUGUGCCAGCAGAAAGGUAGAAUAUAUAUUAUAUACACAGUCAUCUGCACCUCUAUAACUGUCUGGUUUGGUUCUGCAACCCAACAAGACAGGUACAGACUUCAGAGGAUAAUUAGAACUGCAGAAAAAACAAUGGCUACCAACCUGCAUUGAGGACCUGUAUACUGCACGGAUCAAAAAGAGGGCUGUGAAAAUAUUUAUAGACCCCUCACAUCCUGGAUAUAAAUUGUUUCAACUCCUACCCUCAAAACGACUAUAGAGCACUGCACACCACGACACAAGGACUGUUUUUUCCCGAAUGCCAUCACUCUGCCAAACCACUAAUUCCUACAACACUGUCCAAUUAACUACUAAGACUGUACUAAUUCUUCUUCUCAUCCUUCCUAGUACCUAUCUCUUCCCACUUAUGGCUAUAACCAUAUUGCUUGUAUCUUUACAACUUAUAUUUUCAUUGUUUCCUAGUAUGAUUUGAUUGCUUAUUAGUAUCCUAUGACUAUCACUAAGUGUUGUAUCUUAUGAUUCUUGACGAAUAUUUUUUUUCUUUUAUGUACACUGAGAGCAUAUGCACCAAAACAAAUUCCUUGUGUGUCCAAUCACACUUGGCCAAUAAAGAAUUCCUAUUCUA